rnacentral:rRNA from 1 species
GAGUUUGAUCAUGGCUCAGAUUGAACGCUGGCGGCAUGCCUUACACAUGCAAGUCGAACGGCAGCACGGGAGCAAUCCUGGUGGCGAGUGGCGAACGGGUGAGUAAUAUAUCGGAACGUGCCCAGUCGUGGGGGAUAACGUAGCGAAAGCUACGCUAAUACCGCAUACGAUCUACGGAUGAAAGCGGGGGACUCGCAAGAGCCUCGCGCGAUUGGAGCGGCCGAUAUCAGAUUAGGUUGUUGGUGAGGUAAAAGCUCACCAAGCCUGCGAUCUGUAGCUGGUCUGAGAGGACGACCAGCCACACUGGAACUGAGACACGGUCCAGACUCCUACGGGAGGCAGCAGUGGGGAAUUUUGGACAAUGGACGCAAGUCUGAUCCAGCAAUGCCGCGUGCAGGACGAAGGCCUUCGGGUUGUAAACUGCUUUUGUACGGAACGAAACGGUCUUCUUUAAUACAGAGGGCUAAUGACGGUACCGUAAGAAUAAGCACCGGCUAACUACGUGCCAGCAGCCGCGGUAAUACGUAGGGUGCGAGCGUUAAUCGGAAUUACUGGGCGUAAAGCGUGCGCAGGCGGUUAUAUAAGUCAGAUGUGAAAUCCCCGGGCUCAACCUGGGACCUGCAUUUGAGACUGUAUAGCUAGAGUACGGUAGAGGGGGAUGGAAUUCCGCGUGUAGCAGUGAAAUGCGU